CGCGGGGCGCUGGACUACAUUUCCCACAAGGCUGCGGGGGCGAGGCGUGGGGUCGGAGUGCGCAGGCGCGAGUCCGGAGGCGCAGGCUCCCGGGACAGCAGCUCGGCGUCCCUGGGCUAGCGGCUUGCCGAGCGAGAAGCGGACUGCGCGGCUACCUUCUUCCGGCGACCCUUACCCAGCCCUUCGUGAGUCUGUCGAUGCCCACCGGGAGAGGAGAGAAGGGGCAGACAGCCUUGGCGAAGCCUCGCCGUGCUCCUCUGAAAUAAAGGAACGCCGGAGGAGUCCCUUGCGAAGUUGUCAGAAGGAGCAGAGGAGGUAGCGACACACCGGAUACAUGUUCUUUUAUAGAGAAACUAAUGACUAGAGAAUAUCAAGAAACUGAAGCUUCCCAGAGCUUGCUGGCACCAGAGUCCACCAUCUGCCACAGAGACAGCCAAGGACACCCAUCUGUGAAUUCUCUUAUCUCACUCAGCAGAUAGCCUCACAAGGCCAAAUGCAGACUGGUGGGAAAUCACCGGCAAUCAAGGCUACAGGCCCCCCUCUGCUACCUAAAACCCCAAAUAAAAACCCCUACCUGGUUUCUCAACAGGGAACUAGCAAUUCUUAAGGCACUAGCCAUUGCUUUGCUCCCUCUGCCUGGCAAAGAAAAUAAAGCCUUUCCUUUCCAUUCAAGACUGUUCUUGUUAUUUGGAUUGGUACUGAGUUCACAGAUGAGACUUUUGGUAACAGUAACUUUUUACUUGUUCCCUCACCAAUUAAGUAAUUCAAUAAAAUCUAUUCAUUUUA